rnacentral:rRNA from 1 species
UACGUAGGGUGCGAGCGUUGUCCGGAAUUAUUGGGCGUAAAGAGCUCGUAGGCGGUCUGUCGCGUCGGUCGUGAAAACUUGGGGCUUAACCCUGAGCUUGCGGUCGAUACGGGCGUGACUGGAGUUCGGCAGGGGAGACUGGAAUUCCUGGUGUAGCGGUGAAAUGCGCAGAUAUCAGGAGGAACACCGGUGGCGAAGGCGGCGACCUGGGUCGAUACUGACGCUGAGGUGCGAAAGCGUGGGGAGCAAACAGG